ensembl:miRNA
ACCCGUCCCGUUCGUCCCCGGACGUUGCUCUCUACCCCGGGAACGUCGAGACUGGAGC